rnacentral:rRNA from 1 species
UACGGAGGGUGCAAGCGUUAUCCGGAUUCACUGGGUUUAAAGGGUGCGUAGGCGGGCAGGUAAGUCCGUGGUGAAAUCUCUGAGCUUAACUCAGAAACUGCCAUGGAUACUAUUUGUCUUGAAUGUUGUGGAGGUAAGCGGAAUAUGUCGUGUAGCGGUGAAAUGCGUAGAUAUCGGGAGGAACACCAGUGGCGAAGGCGGCGUCCUGGACCAACACUGACACUGAGGAGCGAAAGCCAGGGGAGCAAACGGG